GGGGAUUUAGCUCAGCGGCAUAAAGCAUCUGUCUUGCAAGCAGGCAGUCAUGAGUUCAAUCCCUG
rnacentral:tRNA from 1 species